rnacentral:misc_RNA from 1 species
UGGUUCUGGCAUCGAUGAAGAACGCAGCGAAAUGCGAUAAGUAAUGUGAAUUGCAGAAUUCAGUGAAUCAUCGAAUCUUUGAACGCACAUUGCGCCCACUAGUAUUCUGGUGGGCAUGCCUGUUCGAGCGCCAUUAAGUCCACUCAAGCUUAAGUGCUUGGAAUUGGGAGACUACUUCACUGUAGCUCCUCAAAGACAGCGGCGGAGUUGUGUUGUCCUCUGAGCUUAGUAAUUUAUUCUAGCUUCUGAAGUGAUGCAGCGCUUGCCGUAAAACACCCAUCUUUUUUAUGGUUGACCUCGGAUCAGGUAGGAAUACCCGCUGA